GACGAACGCUGGCGGCGUGCUUAACACAUGCAAGUCGAACGGAAGGCCCUGCUUUUGUGGGGUGCUCGAGUGGCGAACGGGUGAGUAACACGUGAGUAACCUGCCCUUGACUUUGGGAUAACUUCAGGAAACUGGGGCUAAUACCGGAUAGGAGCUCCUGCUGCAUGGUGGGGGUUGGAAAGUUUCGGCGGUUGGGGAUGGACUCGCGGCUUAUCAGCUUGUUGGUGGGGUAGUGGCUUACCAAGGCUUUGACGGGUAGCCGGCCUGAGAGGGUGACCGGCCACAUUGGGACUGAGAUACGGCCCAGACUCCUACGGGAGGCAGCAGUGGGGAAUAUUGCACAAUGGGCGGGAGCCUGAUGCAGCAACGCCGCGUGCGGGAUGACGGCCUUCGGGUUGUAAACCGCUUUCGCCUGUGACGAAGCGUGAGUGACGGUAAUGGGUAAAGAAGCACCGGCUAACUACGUG
rnacentral:rRNA from 1 species